UGCCAGGCUGUGCCCACUGCUGUGGAUGGUGGGAAACAGCCACCACGAGCUCCAGCAGCUGCUGUGGCAGACCCUGCUGCUCAUUACUUGGAAAUAUUGCAGUUCUACCCAAGUAGAUGGGCAUUCCUAUCCAGAACCAAGGCAAAUACUGUGGCCUUAGAAAAUCUGUCUUCUAAAAUCAGCUGCAUUUCCAAGAAGAAUUGCAUUUUCAACUGUCUUUAUUCUUUAGAGCCAGAAAUUAAUCAAACUGUGAGACUCUAGCAUUGUGCAUCACAAGGACUCUUCUAAACCAAUUGCUGCAGUUUUGAGAUGAG